GUGCGUUUGCUGGAUAUAGCGGGAUCACAGUUGGCAUAUGCAAUACUCAUUAUGUGUACUUCCCGAUUCCAGAAGUCAUUGCUCAACCCAAAGUUGUGGAUCCUAACAGCCGCAUGUGGCAUCGUUGCUUAACAUCCACAGGCCAGCCGGACUUUCUUUGAAUUAAAUACGCAGCUCAAUUUUUUCGCAUGAAACCUGCAAGUCUAUUAAAGGAGCAGGGAGCCAGAUUGAGAAAAUUCAUGGCAUUGCCCUGUUCCCAACUGUUAAAAGGAACAAUGCAAGAACAUGU
rnacentral:misc_RNA from 1 species